rnacentral:snRNA from 1 species
AAUCAUUUACAUCACAAUCAUCC